rnacentral:rRNA from 1 species
GAUGAACGCUGGCGGCGUGCCUAAUACAUGCAAGUCGAGCGAACGGACGAGAAGCUUGCUUCUCUGAUGUUAGCGGCGGACGGGUGAGUAACACGUGGAUAACCUACCUAUAAGACUGGGAUAACUUCGGGAAACCGGAGCUAAUACCGGAUAAUAUUUUGAACCGCAUGGUUCAAAAGUGAAAGACGGUCUUGCUGUCACUUAUAGAUGGAUCCGCGCUGCAUUAGCUAGUUGGUAAGGUAACGGCUUACCAAGGCAACGAUGCAUAGCCGACCUGAGAGGGUGAUCGGCCACACUGGAACUGAGACACGGUCCAGACUCCUACGGGAGGCAGCAGUAGGGAAUCUUCCGCAAUGGGCGAAAGCCUGACGGAGCAACGCCGCGUGAGUGAUGAAGGUCUUCGGAUCGUAAAACUCUGUUAUUAGGGAAGAACAUAUGUGUAAGUAACUGUGCACAUCUUGACGGUACCUAAUCAGAGAGCCACGGCUAACUACGUGCCAGCAGCCGCGGUAAUACGUAGGUGGCAAGCGUUAUCCGGAAUUAUUGGGCGUAAAGCGCGCGUAGGCGGUUUUUUAAGUCUGAUGUGAAAGCCCACGGCUCAACCGUGGAGGGUCAUUGGAAACUGGAAAACUUGAGUGCAGAAGAGGAAAGUGGAAUUCCAUGUGUAGCGGUGAAAUGCGCAGAGAUAUGGAGGAACACCAGUGGCGAAGGCGACUUUCUGGUCUGUAACUGACGCUGAUGUGCGAAAGCGUGGGGAUCAAACAGGAUUAGAUACCCUGGUAGUCCACGCCGUAAACGAUGAGUGCUAAGUGUUAGGGGGUUUCCGCCCCUUAGUGCCGCAGCUAACGCAUUAAGCACUCCGCCUGGGGAGUACGACCGCAAGGUUGAAACUCAAAGGAAUUGACGGGGACCCGCACAAGCGGUGGAGCAUGUGGUUUAAUUCGAAGCAACGCGAAGAACCUUACCAAAUCUUGACAUCCUUUGACAACUCUAGAGAUAGAGCCUUCCCCUUCGGGAGACAAAGUGACAGGUGGUGCAUGGUUGUCGUCAGCUCGUGUCGUGAGAUGUUGGGUUAAGUCCCGCAACGAGCGCAACCCUUAAGCUUAGUUGCCAUCAUUAAGUUGGGCACUCUAAGUUGACUGCCGGUGACAAACCGGAGGAAGGUGGGGAUGACGUCAAAUCAUCAUGCCCCUUAUGAUUUGGGCUACACACGUGCUACAAUGGACAAUACAAAGGGCAGCGAAACCGCGAGGUCAAGCAAAUCCCAUAAAGUUGUUCUCAGUUCGGAUUGUAGUCUGCAACUCGACUACAUGAAGCUGGAAUCGCUAGUAAUCGUAGAUCAGCAUGCUACGGUGAAUACGUUCCCGGGUCU